rnacentral:rRNA from 1 species
UACAGAGGUCCCGAGCGUUGUUCGGAUUCAUUGGGCGUAAAGGGUGCGUAGGCGGUCUUCUAAGUUUGAUGUGAAAUCCCGGGGCUUAACCCUGGAAUUGCAUUGAAUACUGGAGGACUUGAGUACCGGAGAGGAAACUGGAAUUUACGGUGUAGCAGUGAAAUGCGUAGAGAUCGUAAGGAAGACCAGUGGCGAAGGCGAGUUUCUGGACGGUAACUGACGCUGAGGCACGAAGGCCAGGGGAGCAAACGGG